rnacentral:rRNA from 1 species
UACAGAGGUCCCAAGCGUUGUUCGGAUUCACUGGGCGUAAAGGGUGCGUAGGUGGUAAGGCAAGUCAGGUGUGAAAUCUCCGGGCUUAACCCGGAAAGGUCAGCCGAUACUGCGGGGCUAGAGUGCAGAAGGGGCAACUGGAAUUCUCGGUGUAGCGGUGAAAUGCGUAGAUAUCGGGAGGAACACCAGUGGCGAAGGCGGCUACCUGGCCCACUCUUGACGCUGAGGCGCGAAAGCUAGGGGAGCAAACGGG